AACGGCUACUGAUGCACUCUUGGGCUCCGCACUUGGUCGCUCACAUGGCAUUGCGUGAGGCAGUUAUUCUUCUCCUGGCCAUCUCUGGACCAUUGCUCCAAACGCUUGGAGACCCCAGGGCCUCUUACUUCCGGUUCCGUCUGGAUCCUCAGCUGUCGGGGAUGAUGUUCCCCAGCGAUCAUCUGCAGAUCUUUCACGUAGUUUCCGUUGUGGACUGCGUACGUCGCUGCCUGCGUCUCGGGUCGACCCUCACCGUGGCGUAUUCACCUGCAGCACAGGGCGGCGGGGCGUGCGCGUGCUUUCUCGUAUCACGUGACACAGGUCAGCUUCGCGUUUAGCACCUCCACAACGUCUCCCGGCACUCGUUACUUUAACUUGUGUGCAGGAAGUGAAGGCACAGCUUUGGGCUCCGCUUGGCUCAACGGGCCUUGCGUCAGCGACACGGACUGUCCCGUUGACAACUCUGUGUGCUAUCCUGUCACAUCCACCUGUCUGUGCACGCCAGGCUAUUUCUUCUCCAAAGGUUCACUCAGCUGUGUGACAGAUUGUCCACAGACAAGACUACUCUCAACUUUCUUGGAAUAUCCAGAUUCCUGCAAAUCCGACGAGUAUUACGAUCUUUUCAACUUUUUAUACUACUCGUUGUCUGCAGACGGCUGUUUGUAUCUGUGUUCUCUAGACCUCAACUGCAUGUCUGUGAACUACAGGCACGAGGGGUCAGAGUGUCGUUUCGCCAUGGCGACAGCCCGAAAUUCUUUUCAGCUUCACUGCGACGGGUCCUACCAUACUCACUUCCAGAGGAUGUGUUUGUAAACUGAACAUGCCACUGCCCCUUUCAAACAGACAAAGUUAAUGUCGGACCAAUCAAGUUCAUUUGUGGAACGAGAGAGUUUAAUGAAGAGUUGGCCUUGUUGUUUGAUUAGCACUACUAAUUAACGAAUAAAUAAUCAUUAGCACUAUUAGUAUGAACGUAAGCACUAAAUAUGUUUUUAUUAGCAUUUCUUUGUGGUGUUAACUAUUGGCAGUAAAAAAUUCUUCUCUUCGUUAGCUUAAAAAUGCAAAAAGGAUUGUUAAAGUAUGUUUUUGCGUCAAGUACUUUUCAUGUGAUGAAAGAGUGCUUCUUGUUGUUUUUGUUGGUUUUUUUGGUUUUGUUGUUGUUGUUUUUGUUGUUGUUUUUGUUUUGUUUUUUUUUUUUUUUUGGUCAAUAUUUGCAGUUGUGUGCAAUGUCUUUUUUUUGGUUUUGAAUGGUUGGAACAUUACUUCCUUCUUCAUGCUCCCAGUGUGUUCCUCUC